CCCCGCCUGACCAACCCCACACCUGACCCAUACCCGCAUUAUACCCGACCCGUCCCAUAUAAUGCAAUAACAUAUUUCGUUAAAUAUUAUACAGCAAAAAAAAAUGUUACUGACUUGAUUAAGGAAGUCUCUAGACACUAGACUUCUAGAAGAAAAAAAAAAAAACCAUAUUCAUUUUCAUUCUCAACCCUAGCCGACACUAUCACUCAUUCACUCUCCUCUCCUCUCCUCUCCUCUCAAGCUCUAUCAAUCAGACAAUCACCACCUCUGAAUCUCGCCGCUGAGUUGUGCGCUGAUCAACACUCCGAUCUACAUAAUCCCUACCUCUUCCUAUAUAAUCGAUUGUAGAGAAUACAAGGAUGAUGAAUAUGCUAAAUUGGUGGGAGAAUUAGUGGAAGAAUUUGAAACAUGAGAUAUCGAUUCCAGUACAAGUGAAGUUUGCACUACACAGAAUAAUUGAAGGCUUAGAGUUAUUAUUAUGUAUUUUUAAUAUUUGGACUUUAGACAAUUUAGAGUUACAUUUAUUUGUUUAGAGUGUAUUAUAUUAGUUACUGUGUUUUUUUUU